rnacentral:lncRNA from 1 species
CACUGUUAACCUAUUUGAAGUCGGUCGGAACAAAUCAAUUUCACCAGGUAGACUCUGCACCGCCAUUCAUCAGGUACCUUACGCCUUUGUAUAUAUAUAUAUAUACUUGUUCAAUUUUACUUGAAUGUGCAUAUAUAUAUAGUUAUUAUGCAUUUUACAUGUUUGUAAUUUAUAUUUUUAUUUUUGCAAACUAUUAACCUAUCGGAAGUCUGUCGAAACAAAUCAAUUUCACCAGGUACUCUGCACCGCCAUCAUCAGGUACCUUAGGCCUCUCUCUAAAUAUAUAUAUAUAUAUAUAUAUAAUUAUUAUGCAUUUUACAUGUUUGUGAUUUAUAAUUUUAUUUUUGCACUAUUAACCUAUCGGAAAAAAUCAAUUUCACCAGGUAGACUCUGCACUGCCAUUUUUAGGGCUUUCUGCUAGUAUAUAAGAUCUGAAUGACAAUUUAGUAAUUUUUAUUUUAUAAUUAUUAUUAUCAUUUAUUAUAAUAUUUUUAAGAUAUUUUUUAAUAUUUAUUAUUGUAUUGAUUAAAAUUAAAAGAAUUAUAUCAAAUUUGUGUUUGGUACAAAACGUUGUGAUAAGCACCUCUACUAAGUACAAGUAAUGUAUUCAAAACUCCGUAGAGGAGCUCGGGUGCAAAGGAAUUUAACUAGUGCACACCCCAAGUGUAGUAUUACACUUUAUGGAGCAUGAUUUUAUAUGUAGCUGAAUUAAUGGCCAAUGAAAAUAAUAUGAUUCAAUGUUUCAAAAAGUUGAUGAUCUGCUACACUUGUGGCGGCUCCUCCACUGGUGGCGGCUUCUCCACUGGUCGCGACGCAAACUAUUAAAUAGUUUAAGAAAUCUGGUGUAAAAAUAUAAAAUAAACAGAAAAAGUUAAAUGUGAAAAAAUUGAAAUAGAAAAUAACUUACCAGCAUGGUAUAUUGAUGUGUGCUCCCGAUAUUCCGCUUUUUUUAUUCUUGUUCCACAUAAGGGGAACUUCAGAUCAUUAUUGAACAUGUCAUUCGUGAGCCAAGACUUCGUUUUUGGCAUAACUAAUAAAAGAGAAUAACAUUAGACUAAAUGUAAUACCAUAAGAUGCAGAUUUUGCUUUCAGAUUUUUGUGUAAUACAAGAUAAUUUUCUUCUCUCAAUUUUGCUUCAAUUUUGCUUUACCUACGCUUACUGUCAUGACACUUCUCACAGACUCCGUUUCUGGACCACCAUUUUUAUGUACCAUCCGUUAUGUUAUGAUACAUCCGUUAUGCUCAAUACUAAAGAAUAACUAUAUAACUCUGUAUUACCUAGAUAUUUAUAUCAUAAUUUUAUUGUUAGUGAAAUGAUAAAAUGCAUCAUCCUUGCACAAUCCAAUUUCCUUUUGUAAUUGCUAUCACACUGCUCUUACCAGAUUAAUUAUGCUCAUAACAACUCAAUUUCAAUUCUUUUAUAGAUUGAAAGGUCCCAAGAAAUGAUGGAUAUGCCUUUCUCUUUCCCUAUCUCUAAAUAUAUUUACUUAUUCAAAUUUACUUAAAUGCGCAUAUAUAUAUAUAUAUAUAUAGUUUUUAUGCAUUUUACAUGUUUGUGAUUUACAUUUUUAUUUUUGCACUGUCAGUUACAGAUUGUAUUUCUUGGGACCUUUCAAUCUGCAAAAUAAUUGAAAUUGAGUUGUUAUGAACAUAAAGCAGUAUGAUAGCAAUUACAAAAGGAAACUGGAUUAUCCAAGGAUGAUGCAUUUUAUCAUUUUACUUUCAAUCUGUCCAUUUGUUUUUGAAAGUGAGAAAUUUAAAAAUUAUGAUAUAAAUAUCUUGGUAAUGCAGAGAUAUAGUUAUUCUUUAGUAUUGAGCAUAACGGAUGGUACAUAAAAAUGGUGGUCUAGAGAAAUUAAACAGAGUCGAUUGUGAGAAGUGUCAUGGCAGCAAGUGUAGGUAAAGCAAAAUUGAGAGAAGAAAAUUAUCUUGUAUUACACAAAAAUCUGAAAAAAAAUAUUUUUUUUCAAUUCAAGCAUACUAAUUAUAGGCUCUUCUGCAUCUUAUGGUAUUACAUUUAGUCUAAUGUUAUUCUCUUUUAUUAGUUAUGCCAAAAACGAAGUUUUGGCUCACGAAUGCCAUGUUCAGUAAUGAUCUGAAAUGCCCCUUAUGUGGAACAAGAAUCAAAAAUUCAAAAUAUCGGGGGAACACGUAUCAAUGUACCAUGUUGGUAAAUUAUUUUCUAUUUCAAUUUUUUCACAUUUUACUUUUUUUGUUAAUUUUAUAUUUUUACACCAGAUUUCUUAAACUAUUUAAUAGUUUGCACCGCCACUAGUGGAGGAGCCGCCACCAGUGAAGGAGCCGCAACCAGUGGAGGAGCCGCCACAAGUGGAGCUGAUCAACAACUUUCUGAAGCAUUGAAUCAUAUUAUUUUCAUUGGUCAUUAGUUCAGCUACAUAUAAUAUUAAGUGUAACCACUACUCUUGGGGUGUGCACUAGUUAAAUUCCUUUGCACCAGAGGUCCUCUAUAGAAUUUUGAAUACAUUACUUGUACUUGGUAGAGGUACUUAUCAUAAUGUUUUGUACCAAACACAAAUUUGAUAUAAUUCUUUUAAUUUUA